UAAUACGUAGGGUGCGAGCGUUAAUCGGAAUUACUGGGCGUAAAGUGUGCGCAGGUGGCUUCGCAAGUCGAGUGUGAAAUCCCCGGGCUUAACCUGGGAAUUGCGCUCGAAACUACGGAGCUGGAGUAUGGCAGAGGGAGGUGGAAUUCCACGUGUAGCGGUGAAAUGCGUAGAGAUGUGGAGGAACACCAAUGGCGAAGGCAGCCUCCUGGGCCAAUACUGACACUCAUGCACGAAAGCGUGGGGAGCAAACAGG
rnacentral:rRNA from 1 species